UGGGGAAUUUUGGACGAAUUGGGCGAAAGCCUGAUCCAGCAAUGCCGCGUGUGUGAAGAAGGCCUUCGGGUUGUAAAGCACUUUUGUCCGGAAAGAAAUCCUUGGCUCUAAUACAGUCGGGGGAUGACGGUACCGGAAGAAUAAGCACCGGCUAACUACGUGCCAGCAGCCGCGGUAAUACGUAGGGUGCAAGCGUUAAUCGGAAUUACUGGGCGUAAAGCGUGCGCAGGCGGUUUGCUAAGACCGAUGUGAAAUCCCCGGGCUCAACCUGGGAACUGCAUUGGUGACUGGCAGGCUAGAGUAUGGCAGAGGGGGGUGAGAAUUCCACGUGUAGCAGUGAAAUGCGUAGAGAUGUGGAGGAAUACCGAUGGCGAAGGCAGCCCCUGGCAAGUACUGACGCUCAUGCACGAAAAGCGUGGGGGAGCAAACNGGA
rnacentral:rRNA from 1 species